UGAUUUUCUUGAGCUCGAGCUCGACUCGAUGCCAUACUCGUGAGCUCGAGCUCGACUCGAUUAAGCUCGAUUGUGGAGCCUUACUCGAGUUUGAGCUCGAGCUCGAGCUCGUUUAAGCUCGUUUAAGCUCGAACUCGUUCAAACUCGGUGAGCUCGAGCUCGUUUAAGCUCGUCUGAUACAUGCUUCAACAAAUUGAAUAAAAUUACAAAGCAUUUCAUUACGAGAAGUACUUCUACAAAUCAAUUAUAACAAGUCUUAGAUAUCCAAAACAUCGAUUAGACUCGAAAAUGCACAUUCAAAUAGUCUAAAGGCAUCAAAAAUUCAAAAACUAACAAGUCUUGAAUCAAAUACAACAUAAUAAAAGCAAAUUUGCAACUUCUUCUUAUAGAUAAUGCUCCAAGCCUCCAACAUCAAGUCGUCUCUCCAAUACGAACACCAACCAUGUAAAGGCUGCAAAAGACGAUCAAGACGCUUCAGCAAGGAGGGUAAAUAGAUGACACUCUGUACAAGAUCAACCACAAAAAAUCAAAAUACUGCUCACCCUCUGAAUUUAGUACCGAAUUUCUAAUAAACUAGAAUAAUGGAUUUAUGUAAGCUGCUCACACUCUGUACAAGAUCAACCACAAUAUAUAUAUAAGCUGCUCUAUAACUAUAAGCAAUAUAGGAUGGAAUAUAUAGGAUGGAAUAUAGCAAUAAAGUUCACCAACUCUCCACGCUGCCUAUAAACAAUAUAGAAGUAGAAUGGAAACAUAAUUUACAAUACAAGCAAAAAAAUGUUACAUUUAACAGGAUGAUAAAUAAAUACCAUUGCAAAGGUUUCUUCUCACUCUCAAGAAAUGGGAAGCAUAAUCUCCAAAGGUUUCUUCUCACUCUGUAGUAUAAAAUAAGAUAAUCAAUUUAAGUUAAAAUAAAUUUAAGAAAUCAUAAAAUAUUAAGAACAUAACUCACUUUGUUCUUUCUCUUCACACCAUGAAGACUACGACACCAAUCUCCUCCACAAAGCAAUGAAGUUCAAUGAAGUUCAGCAGACAGCAACAAAUAAUGCUAACUUCAAAACACAAACAAUCACUAACAUAUGCUUUCUGUCACAAAAGCUGUAGUGCAGAAUAAUACAGAAUUAGCUAUAGACUAUAGUGUAGAAUUAGCAGAAUUAGCUAUAAUGCUAACUUCAAAACACAAACAACAAUCACUAACAAUCACUAACAUGAGACUGAGAUUUAGUGCAGAAUUAGCAGCAAAACAAUAAUGCAGCAGUUUUAAACAAACAACCAAAACCAACAAACAACCAGAAUUAGCAGCAAAAAAAACAGAAACUAAGAUUUCUAUCUAUUUGGACAUGAAUCCAACAAAAAACAGAAACCACAACCAAAAUUUAGAAAAUAGAACCUGCUGCACUGCUGCUACUGUCGCGUCGAGGAGGGCAGAGCCGUCGCGGCGUCGCUGCUGCUGUCGCGGUGGGCUGGGAGAUGGCAGUCGGAGGAGCAAGCUCGAUCCAGAUGAGCAGAGUGAACGGAGAUGACAGUGGGCGACGGUAGAAAGGUGUCUGGUGGCGAGAAGAAACGGCAGGAAUGGUGGAUGGAGG
rnacentral:lncRNA from 1 species